rnacentral:misc_RNA from 1 species
AUGCGAUAAGUAAUGUGAAUUGCAGAAUUCAGUGAAUCAUCGAAUCUUUGAACGCACAUUGCGCCCCUUGGUAUUCCGGGGGGCAUGCCUGUUCGAGCGUCAUUUCAACCCUCAAGCUCUGCUUGGUAUUGGGCACCGUCCUUUGCGGGCGCGCCUCAAAGACCUCGGCGGUGGCGUCUUGCCUCAAGCGUAGUAGAAUACACCUCGCUUCGGAGCGUAAGGCGUCGCCCGCCGGACGAACCUUCUGAACUUUUCUCAAGGUUGACCUCGGAUCAGGUAGGGAUACCCGCUGAACUUAA